CCUACGGGAGGCUGCAGUGGGGAAUAUUGGACAAUGGGGGAAACCCUGAUCCAGCCAUGCCGCGUGUGUGAAGAAGGCCCUCGGGUUGUAAAGCACUUUCAGUGAGGAAGAACGCCUGGUGGUUAAUACCCAUCAGGAAAGACAUCACUCACAGAAGAAGCACCGGCUAACUCCGUGCCAGCAGCCGCGGUAAUACGGAGGGUGCGAGCGUUAAUCGGAAUUACUGGGCGUAAAGCGCGCGUAGGUGGCUUGAUAAGCCGGUUGUGAAAGCCCCGGGCUCAACCUGGGAACGGCAUCCGGAACUGUCAAGCUAGAGUGCAGGAGAGGAAGGUAGAAUUCCCGGUGUAGCGGUGAAAUGCGUAGAGAUCGGGAGGAAUACCAGUGGCGAAGGCGGCCUUCUGGACUGACACUGACACUGAGGUGCGAAAGCGUGGGUAGCAAACAGGAUUAGAUACCCCGGUAGUC
rnacentral:rRNA from 1 species